rnacentral:sRNA from 1 species
GUCAGGUAUGGUGGUGUAUGCCUAUAAUCCCAGUGACUUGGGAGGCUGAGGCAGGAGGAUCACAAGUUUGAGGCUAGCCUGGGUAAUUUAGUGAGACUCUGUCUCAA